UUCUUUUUGGCCGAUGGAGAGAGAAGGGCUGCUCUUCUGUCAGGUUCUGUGUCACCUGGAGUGUUGACACCUUUUCCUGGUGUCAUUUCUCACAAAGCAAUCAGAUUUUUUUUUUUUAAUAUUUUAUCUUUGGUGCUUUUCGGGAUGUGUGGAAGGAGUGGGGUGGGAUAGCCCUGCAGGAAACCAUUUAAAGAAUGUAGAUAAUACCAAUCUGUGUUGACUCAUCCUGUGGGAGAGUAAUGUGCAGCCGAGCAUCCUAGUAAGUUAUUUAUCAUGCCCUGAGGCUUGAUGGAAUACAGCUUCCUUGAUGAAGAGAUAAAAAGGAACGACAUAAAAGCAAGGUUUAAAAAGAAAAGACUCAUUAAAAAUACAAAAUCCGACUAGGGAGAGAAUGGAGUUGGAAAGAAAUGGAAGUGCAGAGUGAUGGAAAAAACGAGAAGGAUUUGGAGAGCACACUUUUUUUCUGCCGUGACAGGCCACAGCUGGGGGAUCCGAAUGGAACUAUAGAAGAUGACAAUCCUCUUGACCUCUGAAUGGCCAGAUCACACCACAACAGCACAUGCAGGAACAUCGAGUUGGGAGACUCUUGAAGUGACCAGCAGUGGCCCAGAGUGACAUGUUCUGGAGGCCAAGUGACAGCACACCCAGAUCCACAGAAGACAGCGCUUCCAAACUCUGGCCAUCACAGACUGCUGAACAGCCCAUGAAAUCAUGGCACACCCACAGACUUCCUUCCUGAGUGGGGAGGAGCUAAGUACCUGCUACCAAAAACGGAACGGAAAAUGAAUCUAACUACCAUCUACUGCUGGUCCCUCUAUCUGAUUCAUAGAGAUGUUUAAACAGCCACAUGUGCUUCAGUGAAGUCACACAUAUCCCUGAAGUAAGUUAACCUAUUCUCCCGGGGAAGAGUCCUCUCUAUAGACAAAGUGCUGGAUCUGGACACAUUUGAAGAGCUCAGCUCCCUUGGAGUUGUAGCCCAGUUCUGGAUAGUAUGGGAAUUAGGGGAGAGCAUGGCCCCAUGGCAGCGAUGGGGCAGGAAUCCAGCACUGAAUCUUGCCAUGGGCCCUGACUUGGAGGAGGACACAUGGGCCUGAGAGGAAGAAGAUUGGAGAAAACAAAAAGCAUGGCUCAGGUUUAGGAGAUGAGAUCACAAAAUGCCAUCCCAGACAACAUGAAACAGUCACCGGCCCAGAUGGACUAUUAGAGCUCCUCACCAUUUUCAGUUUGAAGCUGUACCCCCCCCCCCCAAUGCCAUGGGGUUCCGGUGGAGUGGGGGGGACCCUCUAGGAGGCAGUUACAAAAGACAGGAUUAGUGACCCACCAGUAAGAGCUGUGAGUGAUGACAUCUCUCUGCUCAAUGAGGAUCUAGCAAGACAACACCGAUCUACAAACCAACAGAAUGCUCUGACCUGUCGCCAUUUCUGCCAGUGCCUAGCUAGCUUCCUGAAUUGUGGGAGUAAAACAUAAUUAUGUUUACUUUAAUCCACCAAGUUGCUGAAUUAUGUUAUUUCAGCCAGAGCAGCCAUUGACUUUUCAUCAAAUGAACUUUAUACAACAAGCGAAAGUCACUCAAGAUUGCCAUGACCUUAAGGAACAGCAACAGCAGCUACGGCUGGGAUUGCGGGAAGUCUGAUGUAAGGAGACUAGAAGAAGCAAGGCUUGAGAUCUAUGUGAUAGCUUUGGAAACAAAUGGUAACAAGAAAAAGACAUGCUGGAGAAGGGAACAAGCUGCCACAGGGCAGGGGAUGCCUGCAGCUUUUGAGCUGUUCAGAAAUGAAUUUUUGUUUGUUUGCUUGUUUUUGAGACAGGGUUUCUCUAUGUUGUCCUGGAACUCUCCCUGUAGACCAGGCUGGCCUCAAACUCCGAGAUCUUCUUGCCCCUGUCUCCCAAGUGCUGGGAUUCAAGGUGUGAUCACCGUAUCCAGUGCAGAAAUAAAUUAAUUUUUUAACUGUCAGUUUGGAAGACUGCUUCCUAACACCAGAAAUAUAAAAGCUAUUCUUCUCAUAUAGAAAUCCAUUUUUUAUUACCCUUUAAGUUAGCAUAC
ensembl:lncRNA